rnacentral:rRNA from 1 species
UACGUAGGGUGCAAGCGUUGUCCGGAAUUAUUGGGCGUAAAGAGCUCGUAGGCGGUCUGUCGCGUCUGCUGUGAAAAUCCAGGGCUCAACCCUGGACCUGCAGUGGGUACGGGCAGACUAGAGUGCGGUAGGGGAGAUCGGAAUUCCUGGUGUAGCGGUGAAAUGCGUAGAUAUCGGGAGGAACACCAGUGGCGAAGGCGACUACCUGGCCUGUUCUUGACGCUGAGGCGCGAAAGCUAGGGGAGCAAACGGG